ACAGAUUUCCCUUCCUAGUCCCCUGACUUCAAGUAGUUAAAGUUCCUUGUUAUCUGAAAUGCAACUCCAGGUCUCUCCUGAAGCUGGACAGAUUCUUCAGGUCUUAAAAGUCAAUGAGGAACAAACUGGAAAACAUUCUUCCGAGAAAACUAAAACUUCAGAGAAAAGGGAGAAAAUGUUGUAACACGCUUCUUCAGUCUCAAUAAAAAGAACAGAGAAUAGCAAGAUUUACAGAAAAACUAACUGCCCAGACACCAAAGAAGGAAGAUGUGACCUGCCCCGCUGAAAAAAAGUACCGAGCCAUGUGGCUAACAUACACUAGAAUAAUGGGCUAAUCUAAGUUAUAAGAGUUAAUAAGAAGCCUGAGGUAAUGGGCCAAUCAGUUUUAUAGCUUAAAAAAAAACUAAGUAAUUAAAAAUUUAGACCUGAUAAAACAUCAGAAAAGAUCCUCUUAUCUCCAACUUUAUUUGCAUAUACCUUUGUCAUUAAAGCUGUCAUUAUCACACAACAAACAGAACACACUUACACUUUCUGAGCUUCAGUACUAAGAAGGGUAUGUGCCAUGGGUAGACUCCAAUUGCCUUCUGGAUUUAACCUAAGCUGUUCAUUGUCUUGUCUUUCCUCUCUUAAAUAUUACUCGAACUGAAGAAGUUAUAAUGAAGGAAUUUUUUAAAGUAUAAAGGUCAGUAAAAGAAAAAAAUACUUAUAGAGAUUUAUCUUUAAAAAAUGCUAAUUUUCUAUGCAAUAUAUACUUGACAGAAAUAAAUCAAGAGGAAAUCCAAAAUGGCCUCUUGCCAUCCCCAUUUCAGUGUGCAUUCUAAAUCAUUGCUUUCUUUACACUUAUUAUUGAUGUUAUUUACUUUAAACAUGUAUUGUUGUCUAGAAAAGCAAUCACCUUCUAACUCUGAUAAAGAACAACAUAUAAAGAAGCAAAGGGAAAGAUAAUCAAGAGACAGUUCAAGAAAGAGAAAGAGAGAGGAGAGAGGAGAAACUGCUCCUGGCAAUUUCCAAAUGCUCAUUAUUAUUUUUCAAUGAAAGUCUGAAAAACUGUGGCAUGUGUACAAGACCUAGAAGCCACGAAAGUGCUGGAUAACAGAACCUGCAGAAUUUAAACCCAGCACAGCGUCAUUGGGCUCCUCUUCUAUCAGAACAAUAUAAAAUAAUGUGCCUCGUAAUAUAAAAUCCCAGCUCUUCAUAUCAUUACAGGAGCAGUUAAAUUUGAAGGGUCUGGCAAAGCAUAGCCUCUCCCAG